rnacentral:lncRNA from 10 species
ACCACAGUGAACCCUGCAAAACAGAGGAGCCCCUGGGUGGGAGGGGAUAUAACUGGAACUCUGGGAAUGUAACGGGCAUGGUGUGCUUGUCUGAUGGACAGGGCAGCUUAGGGGAAUAAGUCUCUGCAGCGUUGUAGUGAAGAGAGAAUACGGGACAACUGCAGGACCACAGCUCAGCCAAGAGCUCCCUUGCAGCUGAGUUGGCCAUAUGACUGACAGCAAGCCCUGGAAUGCAGCCAGAAGUGAUAGAAGCCUCUUUCACACCAUGCUCCUAAAAUAUUCCAAGAAAUUUUCCAAACCUACUCUUUUUAGUCUGUGCAUCUGGAAGUGAAAGUUUUAGAAAGGGUAAAGUCACUUAAUGGAAAGGGCCCAGAUCUAGCCCCUCGGAGCCAAGCUGUCCAACUAGAAAUUCUGCAUUAGUAUUUGCGACCCCAGUAAAAAAAAAAAAGUCCCACAAAGAUGUAGGAUCUCACUUUGCCUGCGUUAAUUCCCUGUCCUUUGCCCAGUUUCUCCUCUCUUGGAAGGCAGAGGCAGCUUCUGAUUUUGAUCACUUCAUGUCCAGUAGGACCUCCUGCUUCAGACUCUAAGCUUCCGGAGAACAGGAACUGCAUCUUUUCUAUUUCACAUACCCAACUCCUCACACAAUGCAUGAUGCAAGUGGGAAUCUACAUAAAAUAUCUGAUGGAUAAAUGGAGUAGCACUGAUGCAUAUGAGACCCAGUGUUAACCAGAGGAAGCAAUCAACUCCAAGAUCAACUGCCAAGAUAAAAACCAGGACCAAGGAAAGCUUCUGAGAUAAAAUGAUUUUUAAGAUUAACGUAGUGGAUAUUUCCAAUUGUUUUUUUUAUACCCUUCAUCUGACCUCUCCUUCCUAAAUGUGAGAGUUAGCCAUCAGUUGAGUAUUGUGAGAGGUUGUACCCUGCCACUAAUUACAGAAACAAAAAAGGCCAGCUACCUGCUUUCCCGGACUCUAGGAGGUAAAGUUAAAAGAACAUGAACUAACCUCUGUCAAUAAGAUACAACCACCAGGGAAUUGCAUCUGGAGUUAAUGAUCGAAUCCAUUCUAGGAAUGGCAAGAGCAUCUAGCGUCCAAUGGCAGAGGGCCAGCCAUGGUGUGCUGUCUUGGAGGCAUGACGUGGUGGUGGUACCAGGGCCAGAAUUUAUUCUCUAGAAGCAUCUCUCAAGAUGAAUGGCUGUACAGAAACAUGUUUAACCUCUCUUCAUUGUCUCCAUGACAACAUACUCGACUGUUUCUUCCUUGUCUCCUUUGAGCGCAUACCAGUGUGUUGUCCUCCUCUCUCUCUGACCAUUUAUCUGUCACUCCUGAAGGCUCUUUCUGAUCUCCCUGGCCUUUAAGUGUUAGAUCUUCAAGGUUCAUCAUUAGGCUCUCUUCUUUCCUCAUUCUAUAAUCAUCCACUGUCAAUCUCUUCCACCCCUCUCUGCUUUAGUUCCAGCCAUCAUCAUCUCUAGGCAAGACUAUCCCAGGAAUAUCCUUCCUGUCACCCCACAUUACCAACUUCCACCCAACCUCUAAAAUCCAGUGGCUACAUUGAAACCAGAAUAACCUUGCCUAAUGGCAAUCAGAUCAUCCUCUGUGUAAACCCCUCAUUGGAUUCCCAGUACCUUGGGAUAAAUACCAAAAUUCUUACCACUUGUGAUGGUUAAUAUUGAGUGUCAAGUAGAUUGGAUUGAAGGAUGCAAAGUAUUGUUCCUGGUUGUGUCUGUGAGGAUGUUACCAAAGGAGAUUAACAUUUGAGUCAGUGGAAGACAAAGAGGCAGACUCACCCUCAAUCUGGGUGGGCACCAUCUAAUCAGCUGCCAGCGCAGCUAGGAUAAAAGCAGGCAGAUGAACGUGGAAGGACCAUGACUGGCUGAGUCUUCCAGCCUGCAUCUUUCUCUCAUGCUGGAUGCUUCCUGCCCUUGAACAUCAGACUCCAAAUUCUUCAGCUUUUUGGACUCUUGGACCUAGAACAGUAGUUUGCCAAGGGCUCUUGGGCCUUCAGCCACAGACUGAAGACUGCACUGUUGACUUCCCUACUUUUGAGGUUCUGGGACUUGGACUGGCUUUCUUGCUUCUCAGCUUGCAGACGACCUAUUGUGGGACUUCACCUUGUGAUUGUGUGAGUCAACAAUAACUCCUUAAUAAACUCCCUUUCAUACAUACAUCUAUUCUAUUACUCUGUACCUCUAGAAAACCCUGACUAAUAGACCAUGGUGUAUAAAAUUCUACAUAGUCUUGCUUCUGCCUAAUUCUCCAAACUCAUAAUAUGAUGUUUGUAUAUUUGAUGAACCAACCUAGCUCCUCUACCCUGACCCUCCUUUCAUCCAGC